rnacentral:lncRNA from 1 species
AACAAAAUUACAAUAAUUAUGCCUAUAUUUUUCAUUCUGGACCAAAAGUCAGUCAAUGGUUUACCACAUCUCAACAUAGUUGUCAUUCCAAUCAACGAUUAUUAAGAAAAUACAUAAGAGCUGAUAAUGCACCUCGUUGUGUAAAUGGAAGAGAUAAAUGAGAAUCCAUGAGCUGAACAUGAAUUAGAAAAUCAGCUGACACAAUUCUCAGCGUCUGCCAUUCUUCUCCGCGUGACUGGGCCGCUGCAACAGAAACAUGUACGACCAGAAGUUAUGUAGCUGACCAGGUUCUGAACGAAAGGCCAUUCCUUCAUAUCUUUGCAAUGCCCCCUGAAAAUAGAGAAUGAGAGUCAAUAUAGAUCAAAGUAUUGUCAAUUCAUUACUCACUAAUCGGCAACAUAUGCUUGUCAAAUUUGAGGCUCUAAAGCCAAAAAAAGGAGGGAGAAUAUCCUGAACACACAUGAAAAGAGGAACACAAACGACAGGAAAAGCAGCCAAAGUAUACCUUUAGCUUCAAUCCAAUGGUCUGAUUGAGUUCACGGCCAAAUCCUUCGUACAUCCUCAUCUGCAGCUAUCUAAGGCAGUGAGUGGAGAACAAAGAUUUAAAUAGAUCACCAAAAAGGAUGCAACCGUGAAACAACAGGCACAAUACAAUUAAACAAAGCAUUGUGGACCUGGAACAGGAGAGGAAUGGUGGAGCACAUGACAAGAGGCGCAAGUAGAAAUUACUGUGAAUGAUGAUAAAAGCAUGUAACAAAAGAAAAGUUGGUAUUAUACCACCCGCACCAUCCAAGAACAGCAGACCUUUUUAGACCUUGCAUACAACGCCAGUAAAACCAAAAAGAAGAUCAACUGCCCUUUACAAAUGCUCUAUAAUCCAAAAACAUUAUCACAAGAUGGACAAACUUGAAGUUGGUGGCAUCGACGCCGGUGAAGCACAACAGGAAAUAAUGGCCAUAUCAACAUGUCUAGUUAAAAGCACCAGACUCUAUUAUGCACACUAUUUCUUAAAGCAUUAUAUCCUUACAAUUAAUCUUCAUAUAGAGUUAUUUUUUGUAGUCAGCCAGUUCUCAAAUCUGCACCUCUCUUUUUGCAUCUGUGUCUACUACCUCUUGAUCGAGCACCAACCAAAAUAGUAAAAAGGUAGACCGAGCACAUUGCACACCAAGAAACACAAUGGUCGGGUGGAACAUAUACAUUCACCAAGUAUAUCCCCUCUUCUCAGACCAAGACGACACAAUGAGGUAUCAUAUGUUUGCUAAUUAAACUGUAACCUUAAAUGUGUGUGCAUACGUGCAUGGGCAUGUCCAUUUAUUCCUAAUAGGAAAAUAUGCCAAAACAUCGGCCACUUUCUCUUUUAAGCUGGAAAGACCGAUCACUUGGCUAAUAUGCAUGCAGACACCUCUAAUCUAAAUGGAGGAACUGAACAAUCAGUCACUAUGAUUUAUUAACUACAUACAUAUACAUUCCAGUCAAGCGCCUUUCUAGAAAAUGACAUGCUUAUCAGUCACUAUGAUUUUCUUAAAUAUGCACCACCAAAUAUUGAAAGGUAGAAUAAUAUCAUCAUCCUUUUAGUUCCCAUCCAUAUGGAGGAGCAUAAAGAUAGCAAAAAUGUUAGUAUAGUAUGCACACCUACUGUAACUCAUCCUUUUAGGUGUUUAGUAGGACCUAUUUCGUAUGUGUCUCUCACUGUAGGUGGGCAAUACAUUCCCUUGGCCAGGUUAGGAAUGUCCAAAAUACUGAUUCCAAAACAAAACAUGAGUUACAGUUUAGUAGGACCAAGAAGGAUUCAAGAUUAUAAAAGGAGCUGGGAUACACAUUCUUAUUAAAGUUAUUAUGUGUAGCUUUCAGGGGCCUACCAAUCAAUCCAUAUGUACAUCCCUAUAAUACUUUCAGGAAGGUACCACUCAAUCCAUUAGAGCAUCUCCUUUUUGCAUUAAUAGAAGAGGAGCUAGCAUACCUACAGAUGGGCUGGUGAUGGUGAGGUAGCCAGCAAGUAGACCUAGCUGCAGAAGACACCGCCUCACCCACGCUGCUGAUGGGAAACCACCCGGACACGUGCACUCUCGCCAGAGAGGCACCCUCAAUCUCCGCUGAUGGCUGCCUUCCUUGAUAGCUGAGGGAUCUGCCGGCGAGGUCCUGACAACCGUUCAUAAGGAGCAAAAAAGCAAGUGUUGAUCUAUUAUUUCCCUCAUAGAGCAUUGUAAGCACGAGCAGAUGUUCGCCAAUUGUGUGUUUUAAAAUACAUUGUAAUUGCAAGCAAGUAAAAUAACAGGGGUGAUGUAUACUUGUACAUACUUCUUCUGUGCUCUGAACAACAAAGCGAGAAAGGGGGAAAGGGUGUAAGCGCCUAGGCGCUAGGCCAGAACAGAACGCAUUGCUUAAGGUUGCCUAGGCAUGCGCUUAGGCAAGAUAUGCGCUAGUCAGUGGGAACAUACAAAGUUAACAAUUAGAGUUUUUUCCCUGGUCCUAAAUAACAGGACUCGAAUGCCAUGUGAAUUGUGUAAAGCAGAGCAAAGAAGUAGAAAAGCAGAAAAUAGGAAGUGAAGUAAUGGACCGAGGUAUAUGUUUUAACCAAACACUACCAUACUUUCGAAUAUUGUUCCUUAUUUUAAGUAUACAGAAGAACCAAGAGCAGCAUAAUCACUUGCCCAUAGCAUCAAGUUUCUGCGGCAUAGCAUCAUAGAAGUUGUAUCAUAGCAUCGAGAAGCACUUUCUGUUUAGUAAACUGCAAUUUGGAAGGUUACGUUGCUGCAUCAUAGCAUCAAGAAGCACUUUUUGUUGGGAUCUUAAUUUUGUCCAUCACGACAGACUGAUUACACAAGAAAGACACUGUAAGCAAGUGUUGGAAGCUUUAUAGUGUAUGAUUUGAGACGUUUAUCCAUCUAUUAUUUUCCCGUGACAAAAAACAGUGUUGUUAAACAAUGAUAAUAGUAGAAUUUUGGAAGUCUGGCAAUUACAAUAGAGUAAAUGUCUAUCCUGAAGUUAGAACUAAAUAAAACCAGGGUUUAGAAGUGAAUUUCACGGAUAAUUAUUCGUGUUGCUUGAAUCAUAAUUAAAUCGAUAAUAUGAUUUUUCAUGUCGCAUUAUUAUGCUAAUUGGGAUUGUAGUAGAAAAGGCAGGAUAACAGUAUACUCCACUCUUUUUCCAGUUGGGAAGAACAACCUCUCCUGUCCCAUUCUCUGAAUUUUCAUAUAGAUAAUCUUCAAUUUUCUAUUUUUUCUAUCCAUUUAUUUCAGUAGCUCUUUUAGUUCAUAUGAUUGGCUUUGUUUCAUCGAUGGACCCUAAGGAUAAUGCAUGAACUUGCUAAAAUGUUCAGAUUGACGCAGUUACUACAUCUAAUUCAGUAGUAGUGCUUCUGCAUUAACAUACGUACAUAUGGUAUGGAUGACUGAUUACAAACCUGAGUCAUAAUCAACAGUGUUGUUAAAAAGUGGUGAUUAUAACUUAAUGUGCAGUUCACAUGUACAAAUUCAAACUUUUAUGUUUUAGCUAGGAUAUGUAUGCUAGUUGGGCAAUCUUAAAGGAGAGCUGGUAAAUAUCAAGAGGCAUAUGCAUACAACCGUAGAUGAUAAUUUUUCUGAGAAUAACAGGGCUUUCAGGUUGUUGUAGUUGAACAUGAUUAAUGCAUAUACUAUCUUGCAGGCAGCAAGAAAAUAAGAGAUCAGCAUGUAUUUCCAUGCAUCAACAGAUUAUUCACAUGUCGAUUAAGAAGCACACGCAACAAGGAUCGAUAGGUUGACUAAAGAAGAUUAGUUCGCGAAAACAUACUGUGUCGUCGCUCAAGGUUUACCUGAAGGUGAGUGAGGUGGCCUGAUCUGGUGAGAAUCCACAAGAGGAGAUGAAGUGCUGCCGCGAUGCGUAAAUGGGAGAGAGCAGAUCUUGCGGGCAAGGGAGCACAUACCCGAGACAGAGCCAGAUCGUUGAGUGUUUUCCUUUUCUGAAGAUCCAACAAAAACAAUUGUAAGAUUAUUUUUUCCUGUAAAAUUCCAUGUGCCUUUGGAGUAGAGAAGCAACACUACUGAACACAAUAAUCAUAUCUCACGGAAGAUAUUUUUAGGAAAGUAAUAAAAUGUACUCUUUUAACCAGUUUCUCACCUAGUGUAGAAGAGGCUGCGGAUAGGAAGCAAAACCAAAAUUAAUGUCACUUUCAUAGUUGUACCUCACAUCAUGCAUCACUAUCAAGAGCAACUAUUAGAUUUACCAUAGACUGGCCACUAAGAGAGGCCAAAUAUGAUCAUGAAUGAAUGACAAAACUGUAUCUACCUUCUAUAAACAGCAUUCAUCUAAAGAACCUUAACUUCAUAGCAUCCACACUGCUAGAGAACACAAAAAAUAUAUAAACUGUAAAACAUUCACACUAAAACUAAAACCAUGAUAGGUUGUGCAUACAGAGGCAUCAAAAAAGGAAAUAGGGAAGAACUCACCCGAUCAGGGCCAACAGAACAAUGAGAACAUCCAGCUUACAUGCAACACCAUCGGUGGUAGAACUGCUGCCGUCCCUAAACUGAAGGAAAUAUCAAAGAAAUUAAACCAUCAUGUCCACAAGCAACGAGUGGAUUUGUAAUGAAACCAACAACAUGAAGAUGUCCCUUGAUUUAGUAGUAAUUAAUAGGAUAUCGGUAUGAAGAAAACGAUAAUUAGACCAUGCAUUGAUAAUCCAACACAGGUACGUACAAAAGAACAAGGAACUUUCGAAAUAUUUGGUCAAAAGUAAUCCAGACAUUAAUUACUAAUUAUUAGAUGUAGGCCAACUGAAAAAACACAACCAUCUACAAAUAGAAAACAUGGGUUGGCAUACAACAAUCAGAAGCGGACCUUGCUCAUUCUCGCUUGAUAGGAAAACUUUAAAUAUUGAUGCAGAAUUUACUGAACCCUAAAAACAAACUACAACAAAUAGCUGAAAACAAUCAGAAGCGGACCUUGCUCAUCCUUUUAAUCACAUACUCAACAACACAAAAGAAGCAAAAUGAAUAAGCUCGGUGUUAUAUUGCACCCUUUAAAUUAUCCGCUUCAUUUCAUUAGAAUAUACAUGUGUAAGCGGUACUGCAACAUAAAGAGAACUAUCCUUGGCCCCAUGCAAAUAUAAGUGAAUACGGAAUCUGUUUUGCAGCAGAAGAGAAUUCAGUAAUCACCUCAGCCCACCUUGGAAACAACAAUUCCUUGAGGUGUUUUUCAUGUCGUAGAAUAUGCAUCGGCCAAUGAUGUGAGUCUACUAUAAAAUCGGGAAAAUUCAACAACAUAGUUGAUAACGGAAGAAGCACUUUGAACAAAGUUCAGAGAACCAAAGAAUGGUCAGGAAUUUGUCACUAAUAUAAAGUAACAAUGCAAUUUCACAUUCGUAAAUAAAGCAGGCUGGGUCUAGAAUGUGAAACUGUCGAGUUCCUUACAGAAACAUUAAAAGACCUCAUAUGCGAGUUGCCACAAUAAAAAAGUGAAAUAUGUCAUUUAUUAUAGCGAUUACCUCUUUUCUUGAGUAGUUCAGCGCACCUCUCCCAGGUUGAACCUCCCACUAAAAUCAUUCUUUGUCUUAGCCUUUCUACCUUCCUGGAAAACAGAAAAAGGACACGGUUACUCAAAAUUAAAGAUCCUAUAGGGGGGUUAUUGCAAUAGGAAUAUCGAUACUGAAAAAGAUUGGAUUGCUGUCACUAAAGUACGGGAUGCCCGCACUCAUCCCAUACCUCUGCCGGGAUGGUAAACAAAAAUAAGUAUAGGAUUACUCGAGUAAUUUCCUACUUUCUCCAGCGUCUACUGCAUAAAAGAUCGCAGUUUCUCAUGUAAAUCAGGGCAAGAGCCAAAGCUAAUUUUUUAAUGUAUUUUGGUAUGAGUGAAGAAAAUGUUCACCAUGGUACUAUAUUCAUUCCAGCCUC